AUGCCCUCCCUGGACCUUGGGAAAGGCUGGCUCAGUCCACAGUGUGCCCCUGGGGUGGUGGCCCCUCCAACCGCCUGGCUUGGGCACUGCUGUCCUCUUUUGCAGGUCGCAUCUCAGCCUUUUGAGGUCAGCCUCCUCCUUGCCUUGCCUCUCUGCUCCGUGACAGGGCACGGAGCCCUCCCUCAGAUCCUUCCCAGGAAUGUAACAGGUCUUCCAAGAACAGAAACAUGGCCCCCGGCUGUGCAUGUGCAGAACCAUGGAGGUCCCAGAGUGAGCAGACAGUCGUCCCCAAAUACAAACACGAGUCUGUUCUGUGCAGAAGCUGCCUCCAGCUUUGAAGUGGUGGUUUCUCAUGUCUCCUCAUCAAGGAUUUGCAGCGACUUGGGGUCCAAUCUCCCCCAGGUUCCCAUGUUUCCUGAGUUGUCUGUUUUAGCUGUGGUGAUGACGAUCGACCUCUCCAACCACGGCAGUGGCCUUGGAGGACAAUUCAAAACCAUCAGGCCCUUAAAGACAGGAUGCAGAUCUCAGCAGGCCUUGUGUCAUUUGUCAUCACUGUUGCCAUCGUUGUUUUCACCUCUACUUAUGUGCCACAGCAGAGUAGACUUGGAAAACAACGGAGAUUGUUCCAUGUAUUAUUGUUAAUCAGCUACACUGAUUUUUAUGCGACUUUCUUUCCACUUUCAAAUUCCAUCCUGGGGGAGAAAAGUUUCUUGGAUCCAGUCCAGCCCUCCUCUGGCGAGAUGGUUAAGAUCUCCACCCCCACAGCCCUGCUCGUGGCAGGUGCAGCCCAGCCCAGGAGGUCGCUAUCUGAUGAUACCUUCCCAAAGGCCCUUUGAGCCACAGGUGUGCACACCUGCAGGGACUCGGAGAAGAGCAGCUUGUUGGCAUCUCUGGAAACAAGUUGAACCACGGAGCUGAGUUCGGUUCUGAAAUCAAAGGGCAAACAGAUAAUGACGCAUCCCAGGGAGACCGACCACGCUUCAGCCAGGCCUCUGUGCACCAGGGGUACCUUCCUGCCACCCAGUCGUUCAGAGAGAGCCUCCAAUGCCCCACCCAGGAACCCACCUCCACAGAAUCAGGUGAGCUCAUCCCUCCAGAUGCUGCUGUGUGCCAACAGCGACCUUGAGAGAAAGGGCAGAAGGGGAAGUCAAAACACAGGACGGCGGAAGACAAAAUCCUUGCGGCUGAUGGAGUGAAGAAGGAUGCACCAAAAACUAUGAGAAUCGGCAACAUGAGGGCCACAUCCAUGCCGUGAUGGAGUGAAGAAGGAUGCACCAAAAACUAUGAGAAUCGGCAACAUGAGGGCCACAUCCAUGCCGUGAAUGAAGUGCCCUGGGCGUGCAGAGGAAGGCGUGAGACUACAGAGGCCGCGGUGGUGUGGGAUGGCUCCUCAUCUGCUCCAAAUGACAAGCACCGCAUCCACUGCUGCCACUGGGUACCCCAGACAUGCCUUUGUCUCGGUCAUCGCACUCAGCCUGGCCUCAUGUGACCGCUGGGUCUUCGCGGCUGGUUCAUCCCCAUGGUGUGGUCACUCACAACUGGUAACAACUGUAGUCCUUCCAGGUGGAAUCUGUGUGUUUAAGACAUCACCACGCCCGUGCCACACACAAAUGGAGGCCAGUGAUUGUUUCUUCAGCACACAUGACCCGAGUCAGGGCCUGACCACUCACCUCCAGCAGGUUUAGCCAAAUCAACCCUCCCUCCCAGCUCAAAACAGUUUUGGUUUCUAUGUUCCAGUCUACGUUCAUCAAAGACUGACCGAGGAGUGUCUGUGGACUCAGCACGAAAAGGCUGUCUGACUUUCACCCAUUCAACGGAGAAACAGCAGGGAAGUAUCUUUUCUUGUCUUUUUUAGGCAGCCUCGGAAAGCUAGAAAACGUAGCUGAAAUAAUUCCCCCUUUAAAACCUGCCCUGGUGGCGAGCGCACUGUCUUCAUUUGACUGCCUCAAUAAUUAGUCAAAUGAUAUGGGUGCUCCCCCUCGCCGGCGAGCCUCAUCUCCACCCGCUUGCAUGCUAAUUUGCCAAAAAGCUCCAACUGUAUUUGCAUAUUUUUCCAUCUAAUUUAGCCUGAUCGCAAUUUAGAGC
ensembl:lincRNA